UACGUAGGGGGCUAGCGUUGUCCGGAAUCAUUGGGCGUAAAGAGCGUGUAGGCGGCCCGGUAAGUCCGCUGUAAAAGUCAAAGGCUCAACCUUUGAAUGUCAGUGGAUACUGCCGGGCUAGAGUCCGGAAGAGGCGAGUGGAACUCCUGGUGUAGCGGUGGAAUGCGCAGAUAUCAGGAGGAACACCGGUGGCGAAGGCGGGUCUCUGGGCCGUAACUGACGCUGGAGGAGCGAAAGCAUGGGGAGCGAACAGG
rnacentral:rRNA from 1 species